rnacentral:rRNA from 1 species
GAUGAACGCUGGCGGCGUGCCUAAUACAUGCAAGUCGAGCGAACGGACGAGAAGCUUGCUUCUCUGAUGUUAGCGGCGGACGGGUGAGUAACACGUGGAUAACCUACCUAUAAGACUGGGAUAACUUCGGGAAACCGGAGCUAAUACCGGAUAAUAUUUUGAACCGCAUGGUUCAAAAGUGAAAGACGGUCUUACUGUCACUUAUAGAUGGAUCCGCGCUGCAUUAGCUAGUUGGUAAGGUAACGGCUUACCAAGGCAACGAUGCAUAGCCGACCUGAGAGGGUGAUCGGCCACACUGGAACUGAGACACGGUCCAGACUCCUACGGGAGGCAGCAGUAGGGAAUCUUCCGCAAUGGGCGAAAGCCUGACGGAGCAACGCCGCGUGAGUGAUGAAGGUCUUCGGAUCGUAAAACUCUGUUAUUAGGGAAGAACAUAUGUGUAAGUAACUGUGCACAUCUUGACGGUACCUAAUCAGAAAGCCACGGCUAACUACGUGCCAGCAGCCGCGGUAAUACGUAGGUGGCAAGCGUUAUCCGGAAUUAUUGGGCGUAAAGCGCGCGUAGGCGGUUUUUUAAGUCUGAUGUGAAAGCCCACGGCUCAACCGUGGAGGGUCAUUGGAAACUGGAAAACUUGAGUGCAGAAGAGGAAAGUGGAAUUCCAUGUGUAGCGGUGAAAUGCGCAGAGAUAUGGAGGAACACCAGUGGCGAAGGCGACUUUCUGGUCUGUAACUGACGCUGAUGUGCGAAAGCGUGGAGAUCAAACAGGAUUAGAUACCCUGGUAGUCCACGCCGUAAACGAUGAGUGCUAAGUGUUAGGGGGUUUCCGCCCCUUAGUGCUGCAGCUAACGCAUUAAGCACUCCGCCUGGGGAGUACGACCGCAAGGUUGAAACUCAAAGGAAUUGACGGGGACCCGCACAAGCGGUGGAGCAUGUGGUUUAAUUCGAAGCAACGCGAAGAACCUUACCAAAUCUUGACAUCCUUUGACAACUCUAGAGAUAGAGCUUUCCCCUUCGGGGGACAAAGUGACAGGUGGUGCAUGGUUGUCGUCAGCUCGUGUCGUGAGAUGUUGGGUUAAGUCCCGCAACGAGCGCAACCCUUAAGCUUAGUUGCCAUCAUUAAGUUGGGCACUCUAAGUUGACUGCCGGUGACAAACCGGAGGAAGGUGGGGAUGACGUCAAAUCAUCAUGCNCCUUAUGAUUUGGGCUACACACGUGCUACAAUGGACAAUACAAAGGGCAGCGAAACCGCGAGGUCAAGCAAAUCCCAUAAAGUUGUUCUCAGUUCGGAUUGUAGUCUGCAACUCGACUACAUGAAGCUGGAAUCGCUAGUAAUCGUAGAUCAGCAUGCUACGGUGAAUACGUUCCCGGGUCUUGUACACACCGCCCGUCACACCACGAGAGUUUGUAACACCCGAAGCCGGUGGAGUAACCUUUUAGGAGCUAGCCGUCGAAGGUGGGACAAAUGAUUGGGGUG